GAUCCUGGCUCAGGAUGAACGCUAGCUACAGGCUUAACACAUGCAAGUCGAGGGGCAGCAUGAACUUAGCUUGCUAAGUUUGAUGGCGACCGGCGCACGGGUGAGUAACACGUAUCCAACCUUCCCGUUACUCUGGGAUAGCCUUUCGAAAGAAAGAUUAAUACCGGAUAGUAUCGAGAGAUUGCAUGAUAACCCGAUUAAAGAUUUAUCGGUAACGGAUGGGGAUGCGUUCCAUUAGAUAG
rnacentral:rRNA from 1 species